rnacentral:rRNA from 1 species
UCGCUAUGGGAUGGCCCCGCGGUGCAUUAGCUAGUUGGUAAGGUAACGGCUUACCAAGGCAAUGAUGCAUAGCCGAGUUGAGAGACUGAACGGCCACAUUGGGACUGAGACACGGCCCAAACUCCUACGGGAGGCAGCAGUAGGGAAUCUUCCACAAUGGACGCAAGUCUGAUGGAGCAACGCCGCGUGAGUGAAAAAGGUUUUCGGAUCGUAAAGCUCUGUUGUUGGUGAAGAAGGAUAGAGGUAGUAACUGGCCUUUAUUUGACGGUAAUCAACCAGAAAGUCACGGCUAACUACGUGCCAGCAGCCGCGGUAAUACGUAGGUGGCAAGCGUUGUCCGGAUUUAUUGGGCGUAAAGCGAGCGCAGGCGGAAGAAUAAGUCUGAUGUGAAAGCCCUCGGCUUAACCGAGGAACUGCAUCGGAAACUGUUUUUCUCGAGUGCAGAAGAGGAGAGUGGAACUCCAUGUGUAGCGGUGGAAUGCGUAGAUAU